GGCCUGCGCCAGCGAUGGCCGCUUGCGAGGUGCUGCAUGGUUGUCGUCAGCUCGUGCCGUGAGGUGUCGGGUUAAGUCCCAUAACGAGCGCAACCCCUACUGCUAGUUGCCAGCGGGUCAUGCCGGGGACUCUAGCGGAACUGCCAGCGUAAGCUGCGAGGAAGGUGGGGAUGACGUCAAAUCAGCACGGCCCUUACGUCCAGGGCUACACACGUGUUACAAUGGCCGGUACAGAGGGCAGCCACCCCGCGAGGGGGCGCGAAUCCCGAAAGCCGGUCCCAGUUCGGAUCGGAGUCUGCAACCCGACUCCGUGAAGCUGGAUUCGCUAGUAAUCGCGCAUCAGCCACGGCGCGGUGAAUACGUUCCCGGGCCUU
rnacentral:rRNA from 1 species